rnacentral:tRNA from 1 species
GUUGUGGCUCAGUGGUAGAACGCCUGCCUAGCCUGUGUGGGGCCCUGGGUUUGAUCCUCAGCACAACA